rnacentral:SRP_RNA from 1 species
GCCAGGGGUGGUGGCAUGUGCCUAUAGUCCCAGCUGCUUGGGAGGCUGAGGCUGGAAAAUUGCUUGAGUCCAGGAGUUCUGGGCUGUAGUGUGCUAUGCCGAUCAGGUGUCCGCACUAAGUUCGGCAUCAAUAUGGUGACCUCCCGGGAGCAGGGGAUCACCAGGUUGCUUAAAGAGGGGUGAACCAGCCCAGGUUGAAAACAGAGCAGGUCAAAACUCCCGUGCUGAUCAGCAGUGGGAUCGCACCUGUGAAUAGCCACUGCACUCCAGCCUAGGCAACAAAGCGAGACCCUAUCUCU